rnacentral:misc_RNA from 1 species
GAACGCCUUAUGCGAUGAAAGUCGCACGUAGGGUGUGGUCCAAGCGAAAUCCUAUGCAUUUAGGAU